GCAGGCUUUCAAAUCUGUUGACCAUCUCUGCUGUAACUCUUGGGAAGACAAUGACUUAUGAUCUCCUUGGCAGCCAAAGAUGCUGCAUAGAAAGAAAUAGACCGACUUAACAAACAGGAGGAAAUGCACUUUCUACUUAAGUAUGUUUCCCAGUAUACUACUGAAUCCUAACAGGGCCUAAAAUGGAUAAAGCCAUUGCUUCGCUUUCUUAAACCCCUAUGGGAGAUGUAUGAACGAAGAGCCUUCUGCUGGCUCCCUGGAUAAGUACAUGAAAGGAGGAGGCUUGCUCUCUGCCUGCUUGCUCUUGCUCUCCCCGGCAAGUAUAUUUCUUCACCGGCAUUAGAGCCUUCUUCAGGAUUCUGAUGUAUCCUGAGGACAAGCUGAAACAUCAUCCAGACCUGUGAACUGACAACUACUAGAUUAUUGGACCUUUCAUUGGGAUCUCAGAAACUGCCACACGGAACCAAGAAAUAUCCAAUGGAAGGAGGAAAGAGGACAUCCUGGGAACCCUGAAGUGGGCAGGAACCAGCGGAAGUAGAAGACACUCUUAUCACAUGUCACAUGCUUUCCAGUAUGGGGAAACCAUGCAAGAUGCAGGUGCCUGAGGGCACAGUGAACACCCAGGAAUUGGCACCCUUCAACACUGUCUACAGCUCUGAGCCUAACAAAUAGCUCCACUGAAAGAAGAACUAGUAUGUGGAAAUAAGUCCUAGGAAGCCGAUCUUUCUGUGCUUCACCCACAAGUUUCACUCAGGAGCAGGAAGUAGGAACAUGCUGUCCUUGUGCUUGUAUCUCAGAUUCAAAGGUUGCAGAGAACAAAGACAGAGGCUAAAUUCUGAUUCUGCAUUCCACAUAAAGAGGCCACUGGCUGAAAAUCCAGUUGGGAUGUAAUGAAUCCAUAGAUACAAUGAGGAUGUCAGUUUUAUCACCUUGACAGUGCCGCUCCUUGUGCAAGAAAUUCCUAGACCAUGAAAGACCAGGAGAGCAAAGAGCACAAGAUUUACUAAGCCCAGCCGUUCCACGUUACUCAUUGGGUCCUGUCAACAUCCUGAUGCCUAAUGAGAGCAACAAAGUUUUCAAUAGAGAGAAGGGUUCAACUACAAGGGAGCCUUUCUGCUGAGGCAGGCAUCUAUAAAGUCAUGGCAAAGCCAAUGAUGGACAUCCUCUUAAAUAGUCCCCAGCACUACAUUCUAGGUCUGGAUAGAUGGUUCAGCAGUAAAUCACACCAAUUAUUCUUCCAAAGAACCUAGCUUCCAUUCUUAGUAUCAGUCUGGAACUCUAAUUCCAGAGGAUCCAAUGUCCCCUUUUGGCCUUACACUUGUACUGUACAGAUGGCAUAUACACAUACUCUCAUGUGCAUGCACAUAAAGAUAAAUAAAACAUGAUCUUUCAUAACAAGUGUCUUUUACAGAAUGUAUUUUUUAACGUUUUUCACCAAUUCCAACUUGUCUUGUUUUCCCAAGUCAUAUCUUUGCUCUCACACUAGAAGUUCCCACUUCAUUCUUUCAAAUUUGUAAGACAGGGAUUUGAAAGUCAUUAGAAGUUACUAGCUCAGAGGACUUGGGUAGCUAUUAGCUUUUCCUGUACCUUAACCUCCUGAGCUAAGCUUACAAAGAAACUGAGAAAGGCUCCAUUGAUCUCAAAGACAACCCCUCCCCCAUAAUGGCCUGUAUUUAAAGGCACAAAGAUUAGGUUAUAUAGAAACAUUUAUUACUGGAGAUCUACUAUUCACGUCAAUCACUAUAGGUAAUAAUAAUAAUUACACACACACACACACACACACACACACACACACACACUAUUCUUUGUUCAAGGAAGGGAUUAGUGUCCCACUGUUAGGAGAUUGCUUAUCACAUGUAGUGAAUUUAGACUGAGAUGUGUGAAUCAGACCCUAUAAAUGUUCCUAAUAUAAAUUAUUCAUCUAAAGUCAAGGACUUAUAAGUCAUCUUGAAGUUUGAUCUCUUGAAUUGCAAUAUCUGAAGUCCAAAACCUUGAUGGAUGGUCACCUUCAACCACAUAGGGCAAAACAGUUCAUAGAUUUCUUUUACCUAUCACUAUCAUCAUAUGUUGUGAGCCUAUCAGCUAUAAAGUCAGAUAUGUGCAAUUAUUUGGAGUAAUGUUGGUACCUGACUGGAGAAGGAAGCAUGAUAAGAUGCAUGAGCUUUGGGGUGAAUCAGAACCAAAUAGAAAUGUGGGCUCCUUUGUGUUUUAUCUGUGUUACCUUGACCAAGCAAAUAAUUUUCGCAUAUGUGUAAGAUACAUACUCUCUCUCUGUCUCUCAAUACAUAUGUACACAUACAUAUUCAUACUCACACAUAAACACACACUCUCCACAUACUUCAUUCUCUCUCUCUCUCUCUCUCUCUCUCUCUCUCUCUCUCUCACACACACACACACACA